GGAAUCAGAACUGGAAUCUUAUCUGGUCACAACCCAAAUCGUAGUGCCAAGUCCGACAAUACUGUGGUGCUUUCGGGUCUUGCCAUGACGGAUCCUCUCCUUCCUGUUACUGCGUCGAAGGGUUUGUUCCAAAGUCCGCAGAUGAAUACAGCUCGAACGUGUUCUACAACGGCUGCAUCAGUAAAUCUGAUGUUCAAUGUGGGGAUUCGAGAACCGGGACCAUGAAGAAGCUGCCUCUUAAAGAUAAGUUCAUUCAAGGCUAUGCAGUAAGUGAUAACAUGUCGGGAUCUCCGCCUAUAGAUCACUUAGGAAUAUUCAAGAGUGCGAAUCUACUUACCUCGACAGUUGCUCCUGCAGUGCAUAUGCUUACCAAGACGAUACAUGCUCAAUUUGGUCGCAAGAAGUUUACGAUAUCCAUAGCCUUGCUGAUGACCCUACCGGAGUACCAAUUUAUGUAAGAGUUGGUACUGGUACUGGACUCCCAAG
rnacentral:lncRNA from 1 species